ensembl:lncRNA
CAAAUUGUAUGUGUCAAGCUACAUCCACAAUUUUGAAGAUUGUGCUUGGGGAUGCCCGUCCUGUGCAGCUACAAAGCUGCCAGUGUACCUGUGUGGCAGGUACAGCUGUGUGUAAUCAUGUGGCAGCACUGUUGUACCAGACUGCACAUUAUUGCCAGCUUAGCAUCACCUCUGUUCCCCCAACACACAGCUGCACAGAGACUGAACAGAAGUGGCAUAAGCCAAGAUCCAUGGGUGUUAAACCUGGUCUUGUAAAUGACAUGGUGAUUCUUUCAGCCAGACCCAAGGAACGAAAACUGAUGGAAGGCAUUAGGAGCAACUUGUAUAAGGGUGUCAGUUCAGCUCUGCCUGAACUUUCCACACUCAGGGUGGAUGAAGUCUACCAUGAUGUUCCAAGUGAUGUGGCUCCACUGAUAACAACUAUGGCUAUGGACAUUAAUGUUCCUCUGGUUGACUCUGCAUUUGGAAAAGUGCAAGAAGGAAGUGUGUUAUCCUAUCAUAUGCCAGCAAAAAGAGUUCCAAAAACCUGUCCCCACACAGAUGCUCCUUCUCCCCCACAGCUGCCACUUCAGGGUUACAGGCUGGGACCCUCUACCUGCUCUUUU